rnacentral:rRNA from 1 species
UCAAGUCGAACGAACCCUUCGGGGUUAGUGGCGCACGGGUGCGUAACGCGUGCGAACCUGCCUUUAGGUUCGGAAUAACUCAGAGAAAUUUGAGCUAAUACCGGAUGAUGUCUUCGGACCAAAGAUUUAUCGCCUUUAGAUGGGCCCGCGUUAGAUUAGAUAGUUGGUGGGGUAAUGGCCUACCAAGUCGACGAUCUAUAGCUGGUCUGAGAGGAUGAUCAGCCACACUGGGACUGAGACACGGCCCAGACUCCUACGGGAGGCAGCAGUGGGGAAUAUUGGACAAUGGGCGAAAGCCUGAUCCAGCAAUGCCGCGUGAGUGAUGAAGGCCUUAGGGUUGUAAAGCUCUUUUACCAGGGAUGAUAAUGACAGUACCUGGAGAAUAAGCUCCGGCUAACUCCGUGCCAGCAGCCGCGGUAA